CUACUACUACUACUACUACUACAACUAAUAAUAAUAAUAAUAUAAUCAAUGUUAUCUGUGUAUUUUAGCCCUUAAGCUAUCAAUACCGUACCGUAGUACUCAGAAGUCAAGUGUAAUUUAAAUACGUGGUCCGAUAUUCACUCACUUUUAACCACUAGCUAGCAGUGGCUAGCAGUAACCAUAGCAACAAGAGCUGACAGUUAGGGAAGUUAGCGCACGCGCCGUGCUACACUUCUAAAAAGACAAUUUCUUACCCAACAAGAUUAUGUUACUUGGGGAGUUUGCAGAAGAACAAACGAGUUAAAAGGGUUAAAAGUUGCGAGUCUUAUACCUGGAGAAACAGCGCGGAUUCCUCCAGCUUGAGACGCUUUGACUCCCGCGUUCUCCAUGUGGGCGUGUUUCUUUUCUGUUGCUUAUGUAUUUGCUUGUUAGCUUGUUAGCUUGUGUGCCUGCUUGACCUGUGGUAAUGAUGAUGCUAAUCACACGGACGACCACAUCCCCCAAACACCCCCACUGACGUCAUCAACCAUCACCUGGCAUGCAGCUGACGUCAUCAGAAAUGAGUUGAUGAAGAGACAAUAUAAAUGAAGAGAGCUUCCUGCUAUUAUUGUUUCAUCUCAGAGACCCUCAGGAGGCUCCUCACCCUUCUUGUUGCCCACUCUUGGCUCUUCUGUCGCCAUGGAGACAAAGCCUUCACAGAGAAGACACUGAUGGUGUGCUUGUAGCUUCAAGAGAGGUGAUAUUGUUUUGUGCAUUUGUUUACGUUCGUGGCAACAAUUGCGGUGGUCAGGUUUGACACUGGCUGGCUUCCUAUGAGACAUGUGUGCAUUCAGGAGUCCUUCAAGGCCUUCAGCUGCUUUACUGGACCUGGCAGACAGGCCAGACAUCUGCUGCCCACGUCACCACAGAGUUUUUCAAUCAAGGUCAAGACACUUUCAGGCUUUCAUGCUUUUGACGCUUUUGAUGCAAGGAAAGAAGAAAAGAGUUGAACAGCUGCCGCACUGUUAAUGUCCAAGCAGAGGGUGUAGUAAUUCUACAUUUGCUACAGCUACUUUUCACCAUAAGCACUAUCUGCAGCUGGCACCAGGCUUUGAAAUGCCUGUGACUGAAAUACCUGGCCAAGCAGUGACUAAUACCGGCUUUGGAGCAACGACACCUCGCA